ensembl:lncRNA
GUGAAAAGACCUGCCAAACCAAAAGGUACUAAAUGUGAUAGUGAAAAGACCUGCCAAACCAAAAGGUUCUAAAUGUGAUGGUGAAAAGACCUGGCAAACCAAAAGGUACUAAAUGUGAUGGUGAAAAGACCUGGCAAACCAAAAGGUACUAAAUGUGAUGGUGAAAAGACCUGCCAAACCAAAAGGUACUAAAUGUGAUGGUGAAAAGACCUGCCAAACCAAAAGGUACUAAAUGUGAUAGUGAAAAGUCCUGGCAACAUAAAUGGAACACGGUAUGGUAUUGCGAGGACCUGGCUAAAGUGCUUUUGAGCCAGGGAAAAUGAAAUGACGGAUAACCUACACGGGACAAUUGGUUGGUUGAGGGAGAGAACGAGGCAAGUGCUUCUCUACUGAUGAUGAAAAAGAUUCUCUCACAUAUCUCACUGCUUGAGACUAUUUUUAGAUAUGAGGUAUAUUGAAAAUAGUGUAGAAAGGAAAAUGUACCGUGGGCAAAAAAAACCCAAAUCAUCCAAAUGUCUGUCAAGUCUCAGAGAGAGACGUGGUAUGUAAUCUCUCGGGUACUGUUUUUUAUGAGAAACUAACUCUUUGCUGUGACUGUUCAUGUGAAAUGGCCAUUCACUGGUGAUAAAAAGGCAUUUUACCGGUCGUGCCAACAAACCUGUUGCUUGGGCCAUCGUGACCUAUAUGUGUGUUUUCACACCUUGUAGCCAGUAAUGAACUUUAACUAAAGCCAGUAUGCUGGAGUGAUUCCUAUUACCCAUGUAUCACUACCAGUGUAGCAUGACCUAUUGUUACCAUCACAACAACCUCCUCCCUGUGAAUAUGAAUAAAUGGGGAUCGAAAAAAUUGAAAUGGCCACCAAGAAACCAAAGGGGGAGAAUUCCAGCCCUGGAGAGCCUUUGAUUUAGCGGAAUUUAAUUGCAACAUUGGGUCUUGUGUGUUACGAGCGUCCAUUGUUUGGUUUGGAGCUUGCCUUAUGCUCUCUAGUGGUUGGUUGGCCCAGUAGUAGCAGAUUCGUAUUGAUUAAACCUUCAGGACUGCGUUGCCCUCCAGGCCUGGAAUAGCCCAAUCCCUGACAUUGGAGAGGUAAGGAAUGCUGAUACUUGGUCACAUGGGAUGAAGUUGUCCAUAUCAAAAUACAAGUGGCUAUUUCAUGCUUCGGUGGAGCUCUGGUGUCAGUGUCUCUCUUGGACUGUGUGGGCUGCCUGCCCUGCCUGGCUGCUUCCAGUCUAGAAGGCUGGCGCUCUGAUUUCACAUCAUCUGGAUGUCAAUAGCCAAACUGGGAGGAGCGGUCUACAGAGUUUUAACACAAGGCAGUGUUUUGUUGAGGACAGUAUUGUAUUCAGUGUUUGGGUAAGGGGAAAAACCCUCCUGCAACUGUAACAUGUCUGGAUGGAGCAGACCCACCAUAACUUGGCUGGUGGGGUGUUUUGGGGAAGGGAAGUAUGAUUACUUUGUGUGCCGUAGCCAACCAUGUGACUUUCAAGGCAUUUCAAACCUGGGUCAUGUUCAUUAGGGAAUACCAUAACAAAACGUUUUGCAACAGAAAACAAAAACGAUGGUUUCUUAUUGGACAAGUCCAGGUAGUCCCUCCCUGUUUGUCUGUUUUCUCCUGUUUGGUUCCUAAUGAACACGACCCUGCCCGCUCUGCCAAGGUGCCCGAGGACUUGCCUGAACUGGCUCUUUCCACAAUCUCCUGAUUUAUUUUUUUAGGCAUUUGGAAUUUUUUCGUUGGCACUUUACUAGUACACUGUUACACAAAAUAAACCUUAUAUUGAGCCUCACUUUCUUAUUGCACAAGAAAAACAUGCAUGCAAAUAGAAGCAGACAUACAAGGAAUUGUGUCACUACACAUAGUCAGACAUUACAUUCACAGGUGUAUAUGCAUCCAUCACGUUCUCAUUAUUCAUGAGUCAUUCAGUACAGUAUCGUGGUAGCAUCCACAUUAGUGUAGAAGUGUUUAGAAACAUUCUAUUCUUAUUUACAUUUUUAUUCAACGAGGCAAGUCAGUUAAGAACAAUGACGGCCUACACCGGCCAAACCCGGGCGCCGCUGGGCCAAUUGUGCGCCGCCCUUUGGGACUCCCAAUCACGGCCGGUCGUGAUACAGCCUGGAUUCGAACCAGGGUGUCUGACGCCUCAAGCACUGAGAUGCAGUGCCUUAGACCGCUGCGCCACUCAGGAGACAAUAAAAGUGACUCACUAAUGACGUUAUACAUUAUUUACCAUUUAUUUCUAUCGGGCCGAAAAUGAUCUGAAACGCAACUACAACAAACAGUAAAAGUUUCUAGUCACAAGCUUGACGUAGUCAUUGUGUGCUAGAAAAUAUGGGACCAAAUACUAAACUUUAAUACACAUUUAAAUUAAUUUGUCCCAAUACCUUAGUCCCCCCAUUUUAGGGGACCAAUGAUUUCCAGCCCUGUAAUUUCUAAACAGUUCACCUGAUAUGGAUGAAAAUACCCUCAAAUUAAAGCUGACAGUCUGCACUUUAAUCAUUUAAAUCCAAAUUGCUGGAAUACAGAGCCAAGAAAACAACAACAAAAUUGUCACUGUCCCAAUACUUUUGGUGCUCACUGUAUUUGGAAAGGUCUAGGCAAUGGGGAAUGUCUAAUUUGAUUUAUUUAGUGUUUUUUUACAAUAUUGCAGAGAAUGAAGUUGGGUUACUUCUAAGUAACUUUGGGUUGCUUAGAUUUAGAUUUUGUUUAGGUGUGGAUUGAGACCUAUACGUUCAUAUCAGUUGUGUUACUCCCUUUGUAUUCACCAUUCCUUAUUUCUAUUGUGGAUAGUUUCUGUGAACCAAUGGAAAGGCUACAAAACAAUGAGCAAACCAGAUUUUGUAUUGAAUACAUGGACUUGGAUUGUGAUGAUACCGAUGAAUGAAUCUUGCACACGAUGUUCUUUAUUUUAUAUUUUUAUCAGGAAUAAUGUUUGACUUGCCGUGUAUGAUCAAAUAUGCAUAAAAGGAGAGUAGUUCUGCACCUUUCGUAUAGUUGUUCUUCCAAUAUUGAUCAUGAUUUAGUAUCUGCAAAGAAAAUGUAUUGAUCUAAUGGGAUUGUUAAGACUUUUGUCUGCUUGGACUCGAAAGAUAAAUAUGGUUGCAGGCAGUGGUGUUAUUUUCAUGAAUCUAUUUGCAAUUUUUGACGGUAGACUAUAAUGUCGUUUUUUUAUUUUUAUGUAUUUGUUUUGAGAAGGCAGCUACAUUUUGAAAACGCAUUUACUGUUUUGCAAAAGGCCACAGUUCUGCCUUGUGGAACUCUGUUUUGGAAAAGGCCACAGUUCUGCCUUGUGGAACUCUGUUUUGGAAAAGGCCACAGUUCUGCCUUGUGGAACUCUGUUUUGGAAAUCGACAACAUUGUGCAAAAAAAAACGCUCGUACGUGAUUGAGAAACUGUAAUGUAUGAUUUUUCUGCCAUUUUUACAGAAUGUUUUUAUUACUUGCUGGUGUUUUCCAUAUCAGACAGGCAUGCAGACCAAGUCUUCAGCCCCCCCCUCCAUCUACAUAUAGGGUGCAUAAUCUUAGAUAUCAAUGAAAUGUUACUUCACACCCAACGUCAUAACACUUCAUAUGUCAUAACAGCUGACAUUACAUGUCAUAACCUGUUUAUAAAAUGGUCAUGACACUUUAUAUUUAGACCUGUGGAGACGUAUAAUGCAUUAUUUUAUGGCUGUUGUGACCCCUACAUAAGUCACAGGAGGCUGGUGAGGGGAGGACGGCUCAUAAUAACGUCUGGAACAGAGUGAAUGGCAUCAAACACACAGAAACCAUUUGAUACCAUUCCACCAGUCCCGCUCCAGCUAUUACCACGAGCCUGUCCUCUCCAAUUAAGGCUCCACCAACCUCCUGUGAUAAGAUUGUCAAAACCUACCACAGUAGUUAUUUUAUGGCAGGUUAUGACACCUACAUAAGUGUCAAAACGCACAAAACCUACCGAACAAUGCAAAACAUUCCAUUACGCCAUAACCUACUUGUCAACAGUAUGUUAGCGUUUUUAUUGACCAUAAUAAAUGAUCAUUGGUAAUUGCGUACACAUUGACGUCAGACAUGCACCUACCCCACGCUCUGUUGCUGACGACUGGGAUGAACGCAGGAGCAGGACUGAUAUAAGGGCAUGUACGUGAUAGGCCUAUCUGGCUUAUAUGAUUGUGAUCGGUCAUAAUGCAUCUUGGCAAUGUAAAAGUGUAUUUUCUACAAUCUCAAAUAUGAGGGGGAAAAAAACAUGACUGUAAAUAAUUCAUAACAACAACAAAGGGUUUGAAAAACAAACUUUGAACCGAAAGGAAGCUUCUUGGCAGGGAAAAAAACUCAUUGGAAUAAAUGUGGGUUUUGACACUUAUGUAGGUGUUAUAACCAGCCAUAAAAUAACGCAAUAUAUGUCACAACAGGUGUAAAUACAGUAUAUUAGUCAGGAGUGUUAUGAACAUAUUUCAGAUUAUACACGUUAUGUUAGCUGUUAUGACAUGGUUAUGUGUAAAGUGUUACCAAAUAAUAAUAUAACAAAUAAACCAAUUAACAGUGGGGUUUGUAGUCUUAUUAUUCUUUGUAAAAAAAAUAUAUAAAAAAAAAAAAAAAUACAAAUAACUAUAUUGAGUGAUGUUCUACUGUGGUGUACAUUACUGAGUGUACCCCGCUGCAUAUUUCUACA